UACGGAGGGUGCUAGCGUUGUUCGGAAUUACUGGGCGUAAAGGGCGCGCAGGCGGCCGUUUGCGUCGGAUGUGAAAGCCCGGGGCUCAACCUCGGAACGGCAUUCGAUACGGGACGGCUGGAGACCGGGAGAGGAGAGUGGAAUAGCCAGUGUAGAGGUGAAAUUCGUAGAUAUUGGCUGGAACACCGGUGGCGAAAGCGGCUCUCUGGCCCGGUUCUGACGCUGAGGCGCGAAAGCGUGGGGAGCAAACAGG
rnacentral:rRNA from 1 species